rnacentral:tRNA from 1 species
GUGGCAGUAGUUCAAUGGUAGAGCCCUGGACUGUGGCUCCAGUCGUUGCGGGUUCGACUCCCGUCUGCCACC